GACGAACGCUGGCGGCGUGCUUAACACAUGCAAGUCGAACGGAAAGGCCCUGCUUUUGUGGGGUGCUCGAGUGGCGAACGGGUGAGUAACACGUGAGUAACCUGCCCUUGACUUUGGGAUAACUUCAGGAAACUGGGGUUAAUACCGGAUAGGAGCUCCUGCUGCAUGGUGGGGGUUGGAAAGUUUCGGCGGGUGGGGAUGGACUCGCGGCUUAUCAGCUUGUUGGUGGGGUAGUGGCUUACCAAGGCAUUGACGGGUCGCCGGCCUGUGAGGGUGACCGGCCACAUUGGGACUGAGAUACGGCCCAGACUCCUACGGGAGGCAGCAGUGGGGAAUAUUGCACAAUGGGCGGAAGCCUGAUGCAGCAACGCCGCGUGCGGGAUGACGGCCUUCGGGUUGUAAACCGCUUUCGCCUGUGACGAAGCGUGAGUGACGGUAAUGGGUAAAGAAGCACCGGCUAACUACGUG
rnacentral:rRNA from 1 species